rnacentral:lncRNA from 1 species
AUUUGGGGUUCAGGAUUUGGGAUUUGGGGUCGGGAUUUGGGGUUCAGGAUUUGGGAUUUAUGGGGUUUGGGGUCAGGAUUUGGGGUCGGAAUUUUAGGAUUUGGGGGAUUUGGGAUGGUCCAAAGGGAUUUAGGAACACCCAGGAUGGAUUUGGGAUGGUCCAGGAUGAUCCAAGGGGAUUUAGGAACAUCCAGGAUGGAUUUGGGAUGGUCCAAGAUGGAUUUGGGGUGGUCCAGGAUGGCCCAAAGGGAUUUAGGAACACCCAGGAUGGAUUUAGGAUGGUACAGGAUGGUCCAGGAUGGUCCAAGAGAAUUUAGGAGCACCCAGGAUGGAUUUGGGAUGGUUCAGGAUGAUCCAAGGGGAUUUAGGAACACCCAGGAUGGAUUUAGGAUGGUCCAGGAGGGUUACAGAUGGAUUUGGGAUGGUCCAAGAGGAUUUAGGAACAUCCAGGAUGGAUUUGGGAUGGUCCAAAGGGAUUUAGGAACACCCAGGAUGGUCCAAGAUGGAUUUGGGAUGGUCCAAAGUGAUUUAGGAGCAUCCACGAUGGAUUUGGGAUGGUCCAGGAUGGUCCAGGAUGGAUUUAGGAACACCCAGGAUGGUCCAAGAUGGAUUUGGGAUGGUCCGAGGGGAUUUAGGAACACCCAGGAUGGAUUUGGGGUGGUUCAGGAUGGAUUUGAGAUGAUCCAAGGGGAUUUAGGAACAUCCAGGAUGGUCCAGGAUGGAUUUGGGAUGGUCCAAGAAGAUUUAGGAGCAUCCAUGAUGGAUUUGGGAUGGUCCAUGAAGGUCCAAGAUGGAUUUGGGAUGAUCCAAGGGGAUUUAGGAACACCCAGGAUGGAUUUGGGAUGGUCCAGAAGGGUUUAGGAUGAUCCAAGAGGAUUUAGGAGCAUCCACGAGGGAUUUGGGAUGGUCCAAGGGGAUUUAGGAACAUCCAGGACCAUCCAAAUUUGGGGCAAUCUGGACCUGGGACAUCUUGGGACCAACCCAGGCCAAUCCAGGAUGGAUUUAGGACCAACCCAAGAGGAUUUAGGAUCGUCCAGGAUGGAUUUAGGAUGGUCCAAGAGGAUUUAGGAUCAUCCAAGGGGAUUUAGGAUCAUCCAAAUUUGGGGCAAUCUGGAUCUGGGACAACCUGAACCAACCCAGGCCAAUCCAGGAUGGAUUUAGGAUGGUCCAGGAUGGAUUUAGGAUCAUCCAGGAUGGAUUUAGGAUCAUCCAAGAGAAUUUAGGAUCAUCCAAGGGGAUUUAGGACCCUCCAGGACCACCCAAAUUUGGGCCAAUCCGGAUUUGGGACCACCUGGACCAACCCAGGCCAAUCCAGGCCCACCUGGGCUGACCCGGGAUGGAUUUAGGACCAACCCAAGAGGAUUUAGGAUCAUCCAGGAUGGAUUUAGGAACACCCAGGAUGGAUUUGGGAUGGUCCAAGAGGAUUUAGGAACAUCCAGGACCAUCCAAAUUUGGGCCAAUCUGGAUCUGGGACAUCUUGGGACCACCUGGACCAACCCAGGCCAAUCCAGGAUGGAUUCAGGACCAACCCAAGAGGAUUUAGGAUCAUCCAGGAUGGAUUUAGGAUGGUCCAAGGGGAUUUAGGACCAUCCAAGGGGAUUUAGGACCAUCCAAAUUUGGGCCAAUCUGGAUCUGGGACAACCUGGGCCAAUCUGGACCAACCCAGGAUGGAUUUAGGACCAACCCAAGAGGAUUUAGGAUGGUCCAGGAUGGAUCUGGGAUGGUCCAAGAGGAUUUAGGAACAUCCAAGGGGAUUUAGGACCACCCAAAUUUGGGCCAAUCUGGAUUUGGGACCACCUGGACCAACCCAGGCCAAUCCAGGCCCACCUGGGCUGACCCAGGAUGGAUUUAGGACCAACCC